rnacentral:rRNA from 1 species
AGCGAACGCUGGCGGCAGGCCUAACACAUGCAAGUCGAACGGGACCUUCGGGUCUAGUGGCGGACGGGUGAGUAACGCGUGGGAACGUGCCCUUUGGUUCGGAAUAGCCCCGGGAAACUGGGAGUAAUACCGGAUAAGCCCUACGGGGGAAAGAUUUAUCGCCAAAGGAUCGGCCCGCGUUGGGUUAGGUAGUUGGUGAGGUAAUGGCUCACCAAGCCGACGAUCCAUAGCUGGUUUGAGAGGAUGAUCAGCCACACUGGGACCGAGACAAGGCCCAGAAUCAUACGGGAGGAAGCAGGGGGGAAUCUUAGACAAUGGGGGAAACCCUGAUCUAGCCAUGCCGCGUGAUCGAUGAAGGCCUUAGGGUUGUAAAGAUCUUUCAGUGGGGAAGAUAAUGACUGUACCCACAGAAGAAGCCCCGGCUAACUCCGUACCAGCCGCCGCCGUAA